GGCUGUACCAUUUGGCACUCCCAUCAGCAAUGAAUGAGAGUUCCUGUUGGAUUUUGGACAUUCUAACAGAUGAACUGGGGGCUCACAUAGGAAAUGACUAGCCUAAGAUGGCAGAGCAAGAACUGGAUCCUGGAUUGGAAUGCAUUGAGCAUGUGGCUCUAUCCUGAGGGUGGAGGUCUAGGGGGCCGGGAGAACUUGACAAUGGAUUUAGUCCACCUGGAAUCAGGCUCAAUCUUCAGAUGCCUCAGCCCUCCCCGAGCCCUGACCACAAGCCAAAUGGCGCUGGACCACAGUAUCAGGGUUCUCCAGCGACUCCAUCCUCCAGGGAGGAAGAGGUGGUGAAUUUCCGAGCUGGGACAGAACCCAGAGUGGCUGGAGCAGGCCAGCACCUCGCCUCAUAUACUUGGAGCCUGGAGACAUCAGGCAGCAAAUGAGAAGCAUUUUAAGGUUCUCUGACUAUUUUCUUUUUUAAUUAAUUAAUUAGUUCAUUAAUUUUUUAAUUUAAAAAUUUUUCUUACCUCUGGUUCAAGUUCUCAUGACCGAUUCCUUAAGGUUGCAACACAUGAACAUGCCUUUCCUCCAAGAAAAUUUAGAGAAUUCAGAUUAGUAAAAAGAAGAAAAUAAAAGUCUUCCAUAAACUUAUAAUCUGAGGAUAAUGUCUUUUAAUGCUUUUUCCUUCCUGUCUUUUUUCUAUGAGCAGAUAUACAUACAGGCUUUAAAAAUAUACCUUGAAAAUAGAAGCAUUCUCUAUGUGAAGUGCUUAGCAUAUUACCUAGCACAUAGUGAGUACUCAGUAAACCUUUACUGUUACUAUUAUUAUUUCUAUUUUAUAGCCUGAUUUUUCUCUCUUAAAUGGAAUUUCAGCUCCAUGAGAAUUAGAACCUUGUAAGCCUCAUUAACCUCUGUUAGUCUAGCGCUUAGCACAUAAUAGGUGCUCAAUAAACAUUUUUAAAUAGAUGAAAGAAUAAACAUUUUUCUUUCUCAUUAGAU
rnacentral:lncRNA from 10 species